rnacentral:rRNA from 1 species
UACAGAGGGGGCAAGCGUUAUUCGGAAUUAUUGGGCGUAAAGGGCGCGUAGGCGGCCUGGCAAGUGGAAGGUGAAAUCCCUCGGCUUAACCGAGGAACUGCCCUCCAAACUGCUUGGCUUGAGACCGGGAGAGGUGAGUGGAAUUCCCAGUGUAGCGGUGAAAUGCGUAGAUAUUGGGAGGAACACCAGUGGCGAAGGCGGCUCACUGGCCCGAUACUGACGCUGAGGCGCGAAAGCGUGGGGAGCAAACAGG